rnacentral:rRNA from 1 species
UACGUAGGGUCCGAGCGUUGUCCGGAAUUACUGGGCGGAAAGCGCGCGCAGGCGGCCCGCGAGGUGUCACGUGAAAGCCCCGGGCUCAACCCGGGAGGGUCGUGGCAAACCGGCGGGCUUGAGGCCGGUAGAGGUGGGUGGAACUCCUGGUGGAGUGGUGAAAUGCGUAGAGAUCAGGAAGAACACCCGUGGCGAAGGCGGCCCACUGGGCCGGUACUGACGCUGAGGCGCGAAGGCGUGGGGAGCGAACGGG